rnacentral:rRNA from 1 species
ACACGACUACAUUAGAUACCCGGGUAGUCCUAGCCGUAAACGAUACUCGCUAGGUGUCGGCCACGGUGCGACCGUUGUCGGUGCCGUAGGGAAGCCGUGAAGCGAGCCACCUGGGAAGUACGGCCGCAAGGCUGAAACUUAAAGGAAUUGGCGGGGGAGCACCGCAACGGGAGGAGCGUGCGGUUCAAUUGGAUUCAACGCCGGACAACUCACCAGGAGCGACGGAUAUAUGAAGGUCAAGCUGAUGACUUUACCUGAUUUUCCG